CACGUAGGGGGCGAGCGUUGUCCGGAUUUAUUGGGCGUAAAGAGCUCGUAGGCGGCUUGGUAAGUCAGGUGUGAAACCUCCAGGCUCAACCUGGAGACGCCACUUGAUACUGCCAUAGCUAGAGUCCGGUAGGGGAGCGUGGAAUUUCUGGUGUAGCGGUGAAAUGCGCAGAUAUCAGAAGGAACACCAGCGGCGAGGGCGGCGCUCUGGGCCGGAACUGACGCUGAGGAGCGAAAGCGUGGGUAGCAAACAGG
rnacentral:rRNA from 1 species